rnacentral:rRNA from 1 species
GCGCGAAAACUUUACAAUGCGGGAAACCGCGAUAAGGGGACACUGAGUGCCAGCACCAUGUGUUGGCUGUCCGCAUGUAUAAAUCACAUGUGUUAGCAAGGGCCGGGCAAGACCGGUGCCAGCCGCCGCGGUAACACCGGCGGCCCGAGUGGUGGCCAUUAUUAUUGGGUCUAAAGGGUCCGUAGCCGGUUUGAUCAGUCUUCCGGGGAAAUCUGACAGCUCAACUGUUAGGCUUCGUGGGGGAUACUGUCAGACUUGGAACCGGGAGAGGUAAGAGGUACUACAGGGGUAGGAGUGAAAUCUUGUAAUCCUUGUGGGACCACCAGUGGCGAAGGCGUCUUACCAGAACGGGUUCGACGGUGAGGGACGAAAGCUGGGGCACGAACCGGAUUAGAUACCCGGGUAGUCCCAGCCGUAAACGAUGCUCGCUAGGUGUCUGGGAUGGUGCGACCGUUUCAGGUGCCGCAGGGAGCCGUGAAGCGAGCCACCGUGGGAAGUACGGCCGCAAGGCUAGAAACGUUAAAGGAACUUGGGACGGGGGAGCGACUAAC